UGUUUUUUCUCCCUCACUGUAUGGUGUUUAAAGGAAAUAGCACGGACGUAAAGGAGAGCGCGAGCGCGCACGCUCAGGUCUGUAAGAGAAGCGGCGCACGCGCAGACCGAGAUUUACGUUCUAAGCGUGGGUGGCUCGAGAGCGUUAGGCGGUUGGUGUGUGGAGGGAAACGCGGCUCGUGCCGGGGGCCGAGAAACGGUGCGGCGGGAGAGGAAUCGAGGCAGGGCGAGGGCGGGGCGGAGAGCGGCCUCUCACACUUGCCGGCUUCUCAUCCGCGGUGUCUCUCGCUGAAAGAAUUGGGGAUCCUGAGUGGGAAGAUAGGAAACAUAACGCGCGGCGGUCUAGCCCAUUAUGUGCGCCUCGCAAAGAGGGCAAUAUUUGAAUCUCCUCAGUUUGCACUGGGUUGGUUUGAUUCUGUGCUUGGCUUGCUGCGUUUCGAAAUGAUUUACUGUGUAGUCCAAACCUUGCCUACUCAGAAGUAGGCCCAGUUGAGUUCAGUGGGGCUUACUCCUAGGAGAGUUCAUGGACCAGUGCUUGAAUGGAGUGGUGAGAUGGAUGAGGGAAAACAAAUAGAGCUGAAUCCUGGCAAAACAUAGGCACUACGGGUAGAGUGAUUCUCAUACCUGAGAAACAGCAGCCCCUCCAGCUCCCUGAAAAUAAGGGGUGACAGAAUGGGAUCCCUGAGAUUGAGUGGAGGCAACUUCUAUUAUGCCAGCUUCUAAUAAUCAGUGAAAUUUUUCAGGGACCAGUGCGGGGGAAUCCGACAUGAUAAGGAGGAGGCAGGGAACUCAGCACCCACCAGCCCCAUUACACACUCUUAACUCUCAAUCCAGUGCUUAGAGCUUUUGCAAUUCCCUACAGCAGGCAUGUGUAAGGUCCGUUUUGGGGCCUAAUCCAGCCCACCGGUUGGUUCAAUCUGGCCCUCGUGGCAGUUUAUUUCCUGGGGUAAAAUCCUAAAAAAACCCUCAACAAGUUCAAUCCCAGAAAAAAGCUCAACAACUUUGGGGUAAAAUCAUAAAAAAGCUCAACAAUUUCAACCCUAAAAAAGGACAACAAUUUUGGUUGGCCCUCAUGGCCCUUCACUUCAUCAAAUCUGGCCCUCUUUGAAAAAAGUCUGGACACCACUGCCCCACUGCAAAGUUUACAUUCUGACUUGCAGCAUCUUCUGUAAUCUUUUCAGCUUAAAAAACAUCCAUGUGGUGAAUGAAGAUCCACUGAAAGAAGGAAUAAAACCAAUUCUUGACCUUUUUCAAUGAAGAAGUAUCCAAUAGUAUAUGGCUCUUAAUUUUUACUUGCAGGUGUGAAAGUGCUAAGGAAGGAGAGGUAGGUUCGGUUCUCAGUAGCAGGAAAGACAGCAUUCCAUUGACUUCAAGACUGAUUUUUUGAAAGGUUUUCCGUUAUCACUUUGGAAGCAUUUCACAACUAAAAAAAAUUAUAGAGCCUUCCAGCUAGCCCUUUUUAAGAAAUGACUUGAAGGAGACACAAAUAUCUUACU